CUAUCUAAUUCUUCUCUUUUUUAUUAUAAAAAUUUAAAAUAUAUAAUUUUUUUCACAUAAAUUUUGAAUAGUUAGUUAUAUGUAUUAAAUAUAAAUUUUAGUAAUAUUAAUCACCUUUUAUUGAUUGUAAAAUAAAAAAUGAAAGAGAGAUUGAUGGAAUUUAAGUUAAUUAUUUAUUUGUCCAAUUUGCAUAAAAAUUCACUAGUUCGACCUUUUCCAAAAGUAGGCUGUUUUUUGGAUUUUGCAGAUUCGGGCCGAAUUUUACAAAAACUAACCAAAAUACCCUUGAUCGCUUUUCUCUCUCCUCUUUUUUUUCUCUCGUUUUUUUUUUCU
rnacentral:lncRNA from 1 species